rnacentral:rRNA from 1 species
GUCUCGAUGGGGGAAAACAGCGGAGGGAUCAUUACCGAGUUUACAACUCCCAAACCCCUGUGAACAUACCACUUGUUGCCUCGGCGGAUCAGCCCGCUCCCGGUAAAACGGGACGGCCCGCCAGAGGACCCCUAAACUCUGUUUCUAUAUGUAACUUCUGAGUAAAACCAUAAAUAAAUCAAAACUUUCAACAACGGAUCUCUUGGUUCUGGCAUCGAUGAAGAACGCAGCAAAAUGCGAUAAGUAAUGUGAAUUGCAGAAUUCAGUGAAUCAUCGAAUCUUUGAACGCACAUUGCGCCCGCCAGUAUUCUGGCGGGCAUGCCUGUUCGAGCGUCAUUUCAACCCUCAAGCACAGCUUGGUGUUGGGACUCGCGUUAAUUCGCGUUCCUCAAAUUGAUUGGCGGUCACGUCGAGCUUCCAUAGCGUAGUAGUAAAACCCUCGUUACUGGUAAUCGUCGCGGCCACGCCGUUAAACCCCAACUUCUGAAUGUUGACCUCGGAUCAGGUAGGAAUACCCGCUGAACUUAAGCAUAUCAUAAGGGGGAGAGAGAA